AACUUUUAGCAACGGAUCACUUGGUUCUCGCAUCGAUGAAGAACGCAGCGAAUUGCGAUAUGUAAUGUGAAUUGCAGAAUUCAGUGAAUCAUUGAAUCUUUGAACGCACCUUGCGCCUUUUGGUAUUCCGAAGGGCAUGCCUGUUUGAGUGUCAUUAAUAUCUCAACUUCAAAACCUUUUGGUUUUUUGAAGCCUUGGAUGUUGGAGGCUUAUGCUGGUGAAAUAACUGGCUCCUCUUAAAUACAUUAGCGGAACUUAAUGAAUCGGCUUUGGCUUGAUAAUAUAAAUCUAUGCUAUCGCUGAGGAGUCUGUCUUCUGCUUCCAACCGUCCCUUUGAAGGGACUGCCUUUUGGGCAACAUUUUUAAACUUGACCUCAAAUCAGGUAGGACUACCCGCUGAACUUAAGCAUAUCAAUAAGCGGAGGCU
rnacentral:misc_RNA from 1 species